rnacentral:rRNA from 1 species
GGAUUAGAUACCCUGGUAGUCCACGCUGUAAACGAUGAUUACUAGUUGUUGGCGAUACACAGUCAGUGACCAAGCGAAAGUGAUAAGUAAUCCACCUGGGGAGUACGUUCGCAAGAAUGAAACUCAAAGGAAUUGACGGGGGCCCGCACAAGCGGUGGAGCAUGUGGUUUAAUUCGAUGAUACGCGAGGAACCUUACCAGGGCUUAAAUGUAUGUUGACCGAUCUGGAAACAGAUUUUCUUUUUAAGCAAUAUACAAGGUGCUGCAUGGUUGUCGUCAGCUCGUGCUG